CAAUUGAAUCAAAUGUCAUGGAUUUAACAACAACAUUUUCAUCAUUCACACAAUUCAAUCGAAUUUCAUGGAUUUAACAAUAAUAUUUCAAUUAUUCACACAAUACAAUCAAAUUUCACGGGUUUAAAACAUGAUUUACAUCAUUCUCACAAUUCAAUUAAUUUUCAUGGGUUUAACACCAACAUUUUUAUGAUUAACAAUAUUCAAUCAAAUUUCAU
rnacentral:lncRNA from 1 species